rnacentral:rRNA from 1 species
UGAGGAAUAUUGGUCAAUGGGCGAGAGCCUGAACCAGCCAAGUCGCGUGAAGGAAGACUGCCCGCAAGGGUUGUAAACUUCUUUUGUAUGGGAUUAAAGUCACCUACGUGUAGGUGUUUGCAGUUACCAUACGAAUAAGCAUCGGCUAACUCCGUGCCAGCAGCCGCGGUAAUACGGAAGGUUCGGGCGUUAUCCGGAUUUAUUGGGUUUAAAGGGAGCGUAGGCCGUUUGGUAAGCGUGUUGUGAAAUGUAGGAGCUCAACUUCUAGAUUGCAGCGCGAACUGUCAGACUUGAGUGCGCACAACGUAGGCGGAAUUCAUGGUGUAGCGGUGAAAUGCUUAGAUAUCAUGAAGAACUCCGAUUGCGAAGGCAGCUUACGGGAGCGCAACUGACGCUGAAGCUCGAAGGUGCGGGUAUCGAACAGG